rnacentral:rRNA from 1 species
CCUACGGGUGGCAGCAGUGGGGAAUAUUGCGCAAUGGGCGCAAGCCUGACCCAGCAACGCCGCGUGAAGGAAGAAGGCUUUCGGGUUGUAAACUUCUGUUGUCAGGGACGAAGCAAGUGACGGUACCUGACGAAUAAGCUACGGCUAACUACGUGCCAGCAGCCGCGGUAAUACGUAGGUGGCAAGCGUUAUCCGGAUUUACUGGGUGUAAAGGGCGUGUAGGCGGGACUGCAAGCCAUGGGUGAAAACCACGGGCUCAACCUGUGGCCUGCAUUUGAAACUGUAGAUCUUGAGUGCUGGAGAGGCUGACGGAAUUCCUAGUGUAGCGGUGAAAUGCGUAGAUAUUAGGAGGAACACCAGUGGCGAAGGCGAUCUGCUGGACAACAACUGACGCUGAGGCGCGAAAGCGUGGGGAGCAAACAGGAUUAGAUACCCGAGUAGUC